UGCGUAGGCGGCCAAUUAAGUCAAAUGUGAAAUCCCCGAGCUUAACUUGGGAAUUGCAUUCGAUACUGGUUGGCUAGAGUAUGGGAGAGGAUGGUAGAAUUCCAGGUGUAGCGGUGAAAUGCGUAGAGAUCUGGAGGAAUACCGAUGGCGAAGGCAGCCAUCUGGCCUAAUACUGACGCUGAGGUACGAAAGCAUGGGGAGCAAACA
rnacentral:rRNA from 1 species